GUAAGGAGUUGAAAAACCCUUAGGUUUCACUCACUUGCACCCACCUAUCUUCCGAAAACCUAACCCCUCUCACAACUUCGAUCAUCUCUCGCCUUCUCCAUCACUGCCGGCGUCCCUCAUUCUCUUCCUCUACCCGAUUGGGAGAGGACAGGCUCCCUCUUCCGCCUCCAUCUCAUCUACAGCCGACGCUAAUGCACACAAUAGGAGCUUCAUCCCAGAAUCCGCAGGUCAUCUCAUCUCCUCUACCAUCUUCCUCGCCGUUGAUGGCAAGGUCUUCUCACAGAGCUUCCAGAUCUGAAAGCCAUCUCACGGUGCCUUCAUCUUUAACCCACAGCUUCUUCCAAUUGGGAGAGGCGCCACCACCGAACUCUACAUCACCCUCUCCUGAUUAGUAGAGGUUUCUUCGCCACCACUAGUUUCCUUCCACCUCUCCAUUUCGGAUUUGAAGAGUAAAGCUUCAGCACUAGACAGCAGCCCCUCUCCUCUUCGGAUUUGAAGAGGAGAGUUCUUAUCUGAACUUAUCGUUUGACUGGAAGACCAACUCACAUCGUAAACUAUUUUUGCUAUUUUUUAAUCACCUGUAAUCGUUUUAUCAGUGUAGAUGCUGCCAUGUUAUUUCUAGAUAGGUUAAGUGAAUUGGUUUUCUUGAUUGAAAUUGGCUAUGACUGGACGUUGCUUUGGCAGAAUUAGCACUGACACACCCAAUUCGGCUAGGUUUGGCCCUAAAUUUGUCGGUCUAUUCUAGGAUGAGAUUUUGAAUUCGCCAGACAAGUCUUGUUCUCUUGCCAAGAAGACAUUGAUAAGCGAAGAGGAGGAAGAAGCACUACUUGAUCAGAAUAUGGAGGAUCAAGAUGCAGAAUAUAGAAAAAUAAAAGUCCAUGGCUGCAUAUAUCAAGAGAGAGGUUUGUUCUGCCUUGGUGCAACUUAUAGAAGUUCGACCAUCAUUCCUAGAGUGCCUUUUCAGAUAUUUUGAAGGUGAAUGGAGGUAUUCAAAAACUCCAGCUAAAUAGCUCGGGCAUGGAUGAUUACAGGAGCAAUAACUACAUGCUAUGUGGCACUGCAUCCGAACCUCAUGGGUGUGAUUGGGAAGUACUUCGACGAAGAACUAUCAAGAAGGCUUUGGGAUUUAAGUGAGAAUAUGGUUAAAGUCAAUGAGUAAAGAACAUUCAAGUCAAGAGGAUAAGUAGCAUCUAUAAAGAUCCUUUAAGUUCAUGCAAUAAGAUGUAGACGAUAGAAGUAGUUUUCAGUGUCUCCUAAUUAAAAUUUCUUUGUAUGCAAGUAAUUAUGCUUGUUAUAAAGUGUAUGGAUGAUAAUUUAUAUAUUUAUCUUGGUUGUUUAUUUAA